rnacentral:rRNA from 1 species
CCUACGGGUGGCAGCAGUGGGGGAUAUUGCACACUGGGGGGAACCCUGAUGCAGCGACGCCGCGUGGGUGAAGAAGCGCCUCGGCGCGUAAAGCCCUGUCAGCAGGGAAGAAAAUGACGGUACCUGACUAAGAAGCCCCGGCUAACUACGUGCCAGCAGCCGCGGUAAUACGUAGGGGGCAAGCGUUAUCCGGAUUUACUGGGUGUAAAGGGAGCGUAGACGGCGCUGCAAGUCCGGAGUGAAAGUCCAUGGCUUAACCAUGGUACUGCUCUGGAAACUGUGGAGCUUGAGUGCGGGAGGGGCAGGCGGAAUUCCUAGUGUAGCGGUGAAAUGCGUAGAUAUUAGGAGGAACACCGGCGGCGAAGGCGGCCUGCUGGACCGUAACUGACGUUGAGGCUCGAAAGCGUGGGGAGCAAACAGGAUUAGAUACCCUAGUAGUC